UCCAACUGGAAGAGGAAAGGGACCAUUAGCUGCCUCUCUCACCUCAUUACAGCCUCUAAGUCAGCCUGCCUCUGGGGUCCAGAGCAGCUUCGACCUGGUCUUCCACCCAUACAACUGACCACCUCCUGUGGCAAGGCACCGACCUCAGCACUGAAAUACCGAAACGGGAACUUAGCUCCCCAACUAGGGAUUGAACCCGUGCCGCCUGCAGUGGAAGCGUGGAGUCCUAAUCACCGGACCACCAGGUAGCUGUCAUCGUAAAUGGAACUGGCCUGGCGAGUCUGCAGCUGCCCCCGAACUGGGUUGAUCAGGUACCCGGGGUAAUAGGAUUCUGCAAUCUGCUCCUGGGUGGCGGACAGGAUCUGGCCUGGGGAAGGGGAUAAGGAGGGGAUGGCUGGAGGAGGAGGUGGCAGGGAUGGGGGCACUGGGGGCUGACUGGGUAGAAUUUCAGAAGUCUGGUUCAAGGAGGGGAAGCUUGUGGAGGGUGGUGGGAGAGGAUGGGUAAGUCUCAGGAAAGGGAGAGGAGAAUUGGGAUGGGGGCAGAGGAGGGAAGGAUGGUGAUCUCGGGCUGGGAGAGGGAUAAGAGGCCAGGUGCGGGAGACAGACGCAGGGAUAGAGGAGGAAGGGCUUACCUUGCCAGAAAUAGCUCCCUGGUCCGCCCAGGACCACACGCCCAGUCUGUGGGGGGAAGGAGGUGAGUCCACAUCUGGUCCUGAUUCCCCUGCAUCCAGCACCCACAGCCACUCUCCUCCCAGAUCCCUCCUCACCUUGGUGAACUCGGCACUGAAGCCCCCUUGGCAGUAACCCUGCCCCGCUGCCCGGCUGAAAUCUGCGAGGGGAGAAGGUGGUGGGAAGGAGCUCCACACAGAUGGGUCAGGCAGGAAAGAGCAGGAAGCUUGGGGAAGGAGAGGGGAGAGGGGGCCAGAGAAAGGACCUCUCUGGACCAGACAGUGAGCAUCAAGGCUGAUGGGGGGCGGGGGACCGUGGGGAUUCACAGAGAAGGCAGACUCAGGGCUCGUGACCCCUCUUGCCCUACCUGAGCGGCACGGCGCAUACUCCAGAAUCCGGGUGAAGUUGUCUGUGGAGAGGUAGCAGGUGCCCACGGGAUCGCUCAGCGGCUCCUUUUCGGUGCGCCAGCUGUAGAGGGGAGCACAGGCCUGGGAGGGCCCAGGAGGAGGGGGGUCCAGGUUUAGUCCAACAGGACCUCUCUUCCCCGCCUCCCCCACUGUGCUCCGCUAACCGCAACCAUUGCCCCUCCUGCCCACCACGCCACUCAGCCUGCUGGCCCUCACCAAGAUGGAGGAGCCAUGGGCUCGCACCGUCGCUCCGAACCACUGCAGGGACUUGUACUCCACAGGCUCCUCUCCCUCGAGGCUGGACGGCGGCGAGGACUCCAGGAUCCGAGAGCCUUGGGGGAGUGAGAAAGGGGAGUCAUGCCAGCUGUGGGCAGCUGAGCCCUAGAGCAGCCCGUGCCCUCAGUCUGGGGGCACCCAAGCACUUGCAAGCCCUGAGCCCAUGACUCAUGGGAGGGUGAGUGGGGAAGGUCCUUACAGUCUGCCUGUUGUAGCCUGACUCAGCUUCCCCUGCACGCGUGCACACAAGCCCAUGUGCACACAUGUGCACACGCACACACACACAGAACCUGGGGUUUCUAGAGGUGCAUUCCCCUGGUCCGCCUGCCUCCUCACCCAGCUGGGACAAGGAUGCUUGUGGUGAGGUGGGGAAGGACGGCUAGUUCCUGAGAGGGCUACCCUCUGGCUGCGCUUCUCUGUCUGUACCUGGGCCUGUGUCUCUAGCAGCACGUGUUCUAUGUCCUUGACCUUUCUCACGUCACUGAAUCUCUGCCCCUCGUGUCUGCGUGUGUGCGUGUGCGCAUCUGUCUGUCUGGCUGUCUCUCUCCUUCCAAACCCUCUCUGCCUCUAUGGGGCAGCCUUUUUUAUUCCUCCGCUUCUCAUCUGUCUUCCAGGUUUUAAAAAGAAAUCGGUCGGUUUUGUGCUCUUACACCACCCCUCCCCCACCAUCUCCAUCUUUUGAUGCUCUCCUCUUUUGUCCCCUCACCCCAGUUUAUCUCUGGAGCCACACUGCUCAAGUUCAUGUCCUCGCUCCACCUUCUACUAGCCGUGUGACCUUAGUCAAGUUACUUAACCCGUUUCCUCACCUAUAAAAUGGGGAUAAUAACACCUCGCGCCAUCGUUGAAAGGAUUAAGUGCGUUAAUAUAUGUAAAGUGCUUACAACAGUGCCCAGUAUAUAGCAAGUGCUCUUGAAGCGUUAGCUGCUGUUAUUAUUCUUUCUCAGCCUGUUUCCUUCCAUCCCUCUCUGCAUCUACUCCGGACGUUAAGCUCCUUGAGGGCGGGGCCUUAAUCAUGUUUCAAUCCCCUGCAGUACCAGCACAGAGCCUGGCACGCAUUAUCACUUAGUCAGUGCUUAGUUAAAUGAAUCGAAUAGGCUCUGUGACUCUCCCUGUCUUUGUCUGUGUUACUGCCCUGGCCUCCCUGAGCUGUGGGUGAUUCAAGGAAAAUGAGAGCCACAUGUUUCUGAAUCAUGCCCGCCCUCCUUGGGCUGGGCUGGAUUGGGAACGUGGUGUGAGUGCCACGGGGAGCCGCUGCACCGCUGCACGGAGCUGGAGCCCCAGAGCCUCAGAGCACGUGGCCGGGGAACUGGUCAGGCUCCGCCCCUCGCUCCAGACCCCGCCCGGGCCCCGCCCCCUAGCCUCAGCCCCACCCCUUAGUCCCUCCCUGAACCUCCCCGACCUACGAAGAGGGUUACCUUUGCUGUCAAAUUCAAUGGGGGUGCACUGUGCUGGGCUGGUGCCCCAGGGGCAGAGGUAGACGGCACCGCCCUGCAGCACUCCCGGCUGGCUGGUGUUAGCCUUGGGCGCUCCCACCAGCACGCUGACCCUGCGGAGGGGAAAGGAGAGGCAGCUCAGGGGGGGCUCCUAGCUCUUCUCCAGUCUCCCCAGGCGGGAAGGACCCAGGCCUCUGGGCCAGGGUCUGGGUGGGCGUGGCACAGAUGCCCCCCGGGUUGUAUUUAUAUCUCAGAAAAUGCCACAGAUGCCAGAGGCCCAGGCCGGAGUCAGGCGGUCCCCAUGUGCCGCUGUCACUAACACAGCCUCUCCCGCCUCCCCCCAGUCUCUCCCUUCCUACCUUCCCCUGUCAUUAGAAGGAGGAACCAGAGUCAGUUCUGGCAAGAGGCCGGGGCCAGAGCUUCUCUAUCUCCUCUAUGGACCUGCCAAGACUGGAGAUGCAGCCCCUAGAACCCCAGGGUCCUCUUACCUAGCCUAUACCCUCUCCUCCCAAGCCAAAGCCCUUUUCUGGGCAAAACCCAGGCGUCCAGCUGCCCAGCCCUGGGGCAUGUCAGAGGAAAAUGUGAAUCUUGGAAACCAGGCAGAAGUGGAGAGAGGAACUGGAGAAUGGUGAAAGCAAAUUGUUCCCCUGGGCCUGGGCGUGGACCUGCCCUCACCCUGGGCUCUGGUGGGACCUCCCCAUCCUGGCUGGGUCUCUGUCUCAGCCUCUGAACCCCUUUCCCAUACACCAUUGGUCAGAGUCUGAACUCAGAUCCGGGUCUACUUGGGUCUUAGUUUUGGACACAGUGCCUCGUUCCCCCUGAGACGACGAGGAGAAGGUUGCCUUUGCUGGGGGUCCUAUGUAAUGGGGUGGUGACAGCUAAGGUCCUGGAUAAUUCUGCUGCCUCUGGCUCUGCCUCUAUCAUUCCUGGGUCCCUUGCCUCCAAGACCUCUGUGCAGUAGUCAGCCUUCUGGGCUUUCUCCUCCAGAGUCUCCCAUGAGGCUGCAUCUGGCAGCCGGGGCAACUGAACCAGUGUCCCUGCCAGCCGCCAGCCUCGGCCUCUGCUCUCCUCCCAUAACUGGCUCUGGCACUGCUUCUCCAUCUGUCCCUCUGCCCCUAGGACUGCUUGCUCUCUUGGUUUUGGUUUUAGGGACCCCCCCCCUCUCUCUCAUCUCAGAUCUUGGGCUUCUCCAUCUCUGUUGGUUUCUGGCCCCUUUCAGCUUUCAGCACUCCCAACACCCACCCUUUUCCCGAUAUUUGGAUCCCUUCAUUAGCCUUUCUUACCAGGAGUCCCCAAGUCGGGGAUUACGGUAGAGGUCACAAAAGCGGGUGUGUGUGUGACGGGAUGGGAGACAAGAGAUACAUCGAGUAGGGGUGGGGUGGGGGGUCCAAGAGGAAUAGGAAUGGGAGCACCAGAGAGAGCAGCUCCAAGGGGCUGAAGCAGAGAGUGAGGGCGGUCUAGCAGGGCCAGAGGGUGAGGAUGGGAGAAGAAAGGGUCCAGAGGGAUAGGAGGGGAGGCCUGGAGUGAGAGUUCCUGGAGUGGUGGGGGGUGGGGUGCCAGCCUCGGUUACCCUGGGGACAGGAAAUGUUUACUGCCUGCGGCUUCCUGUCUGUUUCCAACCUCUCACUUCGCCGUUUGUCUCCCACCCGCCCGCCUGCUGGGCCCCACCCCUCUCACUCAGGCAGUACAUUCAGUAGGGGGGUGGGAGCUGGCUACUCGGAGGCACAGUGACCUGGUUGGCUGCCAGGCCUAGUAGGUGAGGUUGGUGGUGGGGAGAGAUUGCAUUGCCCCGGGGCUGGGGGAGGAGAGAGGGGUGCAAGCCUCUGUAGCAGAGGCAGCCGCAGAAAACAGCAGUGGUGCAGGGGUUCUGGGUCAGGCACUAGCUCAGUGUGGACUUGGGAAUACCCUCUCCCUCUUCCUCUGGGUGAAGAGGUUGAACAGGUUAUCUCAAAGUCUUCCGGAGCUCCCAUACUCUUCCAGGAGAGUGUAGGGGCUUGGCCAAGGGACCCUGCUCCCACCCCCAAUUUUCCCACCACUCCGUGGAGGGGGGCUGAGCCUGGGUGCUCCUGGGAUGGCCUGAGGAAGAAGCUUGGAGUUUGGCAGGGCGGGCAGGUGAGAGAGAGGCCUUACAAGGCUUAGAAAGCCCACAGACUUGUGGGCCAGGGGCAUAUGCCAUGGCUGCGUGAAGGUUCAGGAGAUCUGGGGUACAGGCAAGGGACACAGAUCCCGACCCAGACUUGCCCCGUGCCGCCCAUGGCUUAUACCUGAGGAUGCAGUGGCCCUUCCUUCCCAGCUCCUCCAAGUCAGUCCAGUAACUAGUGCCCUCCCCUAUCUGCCAAGAGAGGCACCCAGUGUCAGAGGUGGCACGUCACAUACCUUAUCCUUAUUCUCCCACUCCUGGUUCCUGCCUCCUAAAUCCUACAGCAGUUGGGUCCUACUAGGGGUCCAAGAAGGUAACAAUGGAGGGUCCUUGGGCUCUUUUCAAUAUUUCAGAGAGCCUAACGGAAAUCAUGCAUUUACCUGAUAAGGCAGCCCAGGCUAAUUAAAACCUCAAGUGUAUUUGCUUUGGGCCGGAAUUAUAUCAACUCCUGUGGGGAACCUAGUUAUCUCAUAUUGGUCAGAAGCUCUGAUUGGCAGCUAUAGACGUCUUCUUGUUCUAAUUUUUGGUGGAUAAAAAAAAAACCAGGAAAAAGGAAUGAAUUAUUCCUUCCUAAAUGCAGCUUGGCAGAUAAACUCUUCCAAAAUAUAGAGACCAAGGGAAGAAAUAAAUUGCCGUAAUUCAUUUUGAAGCCUCGGAACUCUGAUGUUCUAGAGCUGCUUCUUGGAGACACAGGCUGCCUCAGCACCGUGGUUUGAAGACUUUCUUGUCGAUGCCUCAGGGCUGCCACAUGGAGCGAGCAGAGGCCAGUUCGGUCCUGACAGUCCUCUCCAUCUUCUUUCAGAGCAACCUCUUUUCUCUGUUUUUUUUUUUUUUUUCUUUUUUGUGGUACGCGGGCCUCUCACCGUUGUGGCCUCUCCCGUUGCGGAGCACAGGCUCCGGACGCGCGCAGGCUCAGCGGCAAUGGCGCACGGGCCCAGCCGCUCCGCGGCAUGCGGGAUCCUCCCGGACCGGGGCACGAACCCGUGUCCCCUGCAUCGGCAGGCGGACUCUCAACCACUGCGCCACCAGGGAAGCCCUUUUCUCUGUUUUAUAUAGAAUGCCCUGAUAAGAUAUCAUUUGAAUUGAAAGAAAGGAAGGAAGGAAGGAAGGAAGGAAGGAAGGAAGGAAGGAAGAAGGAAAGGAA